UACGGGGGGAGCAAGCGUUGUUCGGAUUUACUGGGCGUAAAGGGCGCGUAGGCGGCCACCGCAAGUCGACUGUGAAAUCUCCGGGCUUAACCCGGAAAGGUCAGCCGAUACUGCGGGGCUAGAGUGCAGAAGGGGCAACUGGAAUUCUCGGUGUAGCGGUGAAAUGCGUAGAUAUCGAGAGGAACACCUGCGGCGAAGGCGGCCAUCUGGACGACAACUGACGCUGAGGCGCGAAAGCGUGGGGAUCAAACAGG
rnacentral:rRNA from 1 species